rnacentral:rRNA from 1 species
GAACGCGAAAGUCCCGCAAGGGAUCGGUAGAGUGGCAAACGGGUGAGUAACACGUGGGUGACCUGCCUGAGAGUGGGGGAUAACGACCCGAAAGGGUCGCUAAUACCGCAUAACAUCCUGCGUUUGGAGACGCGGAGAUCAAAGCCGGGGAUCGCAAGACCUGGCGCUCACAGAGGGGCCCGCGGCCGAUUAGCUAGUUGGUAGGGUAACGGCCUACCAAGGCAACGAUCGGUAUCCGGCCUGAGAGGGCGGACGGACACACUGGGACUGAGACACGGCCCACACUCCUACGGGAGGCAGCAGUGGGGAAUUGUUCGCAAUGGGCGCAAGCCUGACGACGCAACGCCGCGUGGAGGAUGAAGAUCUUCGGGUCGUAAACUCCUUUCGAUCGGGAAGAACGCCUUCGGUGUGAAUAUCACCGAGGGGUGACGGCACCGAGAGAAGAAGCCCCGGCUAACUCUGUG